GAGGGGCCGUAGAGGGGUGCUGCAACAUCAAGGAAGCCACAGUGUCACUCUUUUUCUGCCCCUUUUCUCCUACCCGAGCUUGUCCUUCUUGCUGCUUCUCAGCCCGGUUUGCCCGCUCCUGUGGGCACACAGCUUGGCCCAGAACGAAGUUCAGACUUGCAAUGUCUUUGCCUCCAGGCACCUCUUUCAGAGGCCCGUGGCAGCUGCCUCCCAUCCCAGAGAAGGGGAACGACACGCACCGAACCCCUGCGAGGCUGGGAGGGACCCACCCUCUCUCUUCCCUUGCAGUAUCUCAACAGCUGUACCCCAGCUGCUGGGACCAGCUCCCUUGGCAAAACUGGCUGGUGGGGGGGACAAAAUGAAUGGUAGCCACCCCUGGUCCUGCCCUCUUGGUCUCCCUCAGUCUGGAAAAAAGUUCAGCCCGCAGCGGGGAUGGGCAGCCUUUGCCUCUGCCCUGGGACCCAUCUUUGCUGAAGCUGCCAAGAGGACGGGGGCCUUUCCUUGCUACCCACCCCACCCCGGAGACCUACCGGCAUUCGCAGCGAACGUGCUGAGAGAACGUCAGUUCCACGUAGGAGGGCCGGGCCCCAGAACGGAUCUUUAGGAGCUGAAGGAAGAAAGAGUUGAUGCCUGGAUUGGGGAGUGGCCCAUGAGUUUCCGGCACUCUUCUCUCUCUCCUUGUAAGGAGAACCCGACUCUGUUUCCUGCUAGCCUGUGGACUACAGGCCCUCACUCCACUCUGAAUGUGGGGCAAACAGCUCUCUCAGCUGCAUGGGGAUCUGAGGGAGGCCCCUGUCCCUCCCUGCCCGGGAGCACUAGCACAGCAAUAGCACAGGAAGGGGGCUCAUGUUCUGGAGUCAGAGAGACCCGUGUUCAGAUCUUGACUCUUUUACCUGCUGAACAAGUGAAAUAACAUCUCUGAACCUUGAGUUCCCCAUCUGUGAAAUGGGAAUGACACCAGCCUUGAAGGAUUGAAUGACACACCACUUGUGGCACGCCUAGGACAGUGCUUGGCAUUACUCAGUCCCUUCUAGUGGGCAGAUUCGGUGGCCCCCUGGGCAGGGUGUGGACCUACCUGCAUGGUGACAUUGGCCGUCUCCACCGGCACACAGUGCAGGUUCUCAUCGCCGCAGCAGCCGGUGCAGCGCAGCAGGGAGACACAGGAUGGGCUGAACAUGUGCUCCACCUCGCUGGGGUACUCAGACACGAUGUCCACCAGCCUCUCCAGCGCCCGGCAGUAGCUGCGGCCCCACACUUCCUGGAAGGGCACCACUGCGAGGAAGCAAGGGGGCUGGGUCAGGCCAGCAGAGACCUGCCCCUUGAAGCCCUCAACCUGGCUCCCAAGGCCCUGCUGGCCUUCCAGGUUCAGCCCCCAGCCCCAUCCGAGCUCCCUCAACUCUGAACUCCUAAUGUGAUCCCUCCGAAAUGUCUGCGGGCCCCUUAGCUCAUCUGCUGGAUGGAAAUCCCCAUGGAACAGAAUCUCUCAGGGUCCCAAGCUUUGCUCUGUCCUCAACUCAGGCACCCACGUCUGCCUUGGCUCCCUGGAGCUUCGAGAAUUGUAGCCCCGGCAGCUGCCCAGGCCCUCUGGAUCUUUCUCAAGCCUGACCCGGUGCUUCCUCCAACUUGGAGAACUUGCAGAAAACAGUCAUUCCUGGAGUCAUGCAGGGAGGGUUGGCCUUCCCUUAUUCCUCUGCUCAAACACCUUCCACGGCUCCCUCAUUUCCUGCCCCACUCUGUGCCAGCUCCUCUGCCUGGCAACCAAGACCACAUCCAGCAAUGUGGCCCGACCCUCCUCUCCAUUGAGUCCAACCAGCGCUCACACUGAGCCACGGCAGCACCACAUUCACUCCCAGCUCUGGCUUGUGCACUCUGCAGCCCGUACAGCUGCUCUUCUUCCCCCUCCUCUCAUUUCUAUCCAAAUAAAGUCCACCCGCCAUUUUCCACGAGCUGCCUCCCCACCUCCUCUUUGAAGACUUCCCCAGCAAUUCCAGUGCACACAGAUGAGCCUCCCUUGAGCACUGCUUGGCCUCUGGCCUCAAGGGGUUGCCUUAUCUCCGGCACUGCUGGCUCUUAUCUCCUUUACAACCAACUCGAGGCUCCAUGAGGGCAGAGAUGGACGUACCCAUAAACACAGGCUAAGUCACUCCUGGUUGAUUAGA
rnacentral:lncRNA from 1 species